CGCGGGGACGCUGGGGGACGUGGGGGCGCCGAGGGACUUGGAGGGCGCCGAGGGACGUGGGGGCGCUGAGGGACGUUGGGGGUGCUGAGGGGACGCCCGCAGGGGCCGCUGAGGGACGUGGGAGUGUUGAGACACAGACACAGGAAGCAUCAACUCUGAGGCUUUGGCCAGGAUGUGAGCCCGACUUUCGCAGCCCCAACUGGCAGGCUGACCUCAUGUGAACUCCCUGGCGAUGGCAUCCUGGAGACACCCACAUGGCUGAGCUGGCACCAUAGGUGAGGCCACUUCCUGCGAAGGUAGCUGGAUGCUCCUGCCUGGAGCUGCCCCCGGACCACAGAGCAUCCAGGAGAUGAAUGCACUUCCAGCCCCGCCACCCUGGGGAGAUAUACAGCUGAGGUGGCAGCUUUGGAGCAAGCAGGGCAGAGAUGCUUCCCCCUGAGGUCCCUCCCAGCUCUGCUACCUUGUCACUCAAGGUAUGGGUUGGUUGUGUUCCCCAAAAAUACAUGUUAAAAUCUGAGUCUUCAGCACCUCAGAAUAUGACAUCAUUUGGAAAUAAGGUCAUUGCAGAUCUAAUUACCAUAGUGACCCCUUAUCCUGGGGAAAAUGUUCCAAGGCCCUGGUGGAUGUCUGAAACCUCAGAUAGUACCUAACCCUAUAUACACUGUGUUUUUUCCCAUGUGUACAGAAAUACGAUAAAGUUUAAUUUAUAAAUGAGGCACAAUAAUAGAUUAAUAACAAUGAUAAAAUAGAACAGUUAUAACAAUAUACUGUAAUAAAAGUUAUGUGAAUGUGGUCUCUCGCUCUCAACAUAUCUUACUAUACUGUAUUUUCCCUUCUUCUUGUGAUGAUGUAAAGUGCUGUAAAAUGCCACGUGGUGAGAUGAAGGGAGGUGAGAGAUGCAGGCAUUGUGAUGUAGAUGGAAAAUUCCAGAAAUAGAAAAUUCCUCAGUGUUCAGUUAUAUUCUGUUCCGAGCCAUCCCAUCCAAGCCUGGGUUGCCAUUGGCCACUUGGCAGUCAUCCUAGUGACCAGAUGGGCUGUGGUGUCACAGUGCUUGUGUUCAGGUCACCCUUCUUUUACUUAAUAAUGCCCCCAAAGCACAAGUGUAGCCAUGUAAUAUUUGUGGAGCGUGGUUGACCGUGAGUGACUAAAACCCAGAAAAGUGAGAUGGAAGACAACGAGGACCACUGUAGUUAGGAUGAAGUCGUGACUGUGUCCUUAUAAGAAGAAGGGUGACACAGGAGCCCAUGUGGUGGUGGAGGCAGAGAUGGAAGCUGUGAAUCCACAAACCCGGGAGCAUCUGGAGCUUCGGAGGCUGAGGAGGCAGGGAGGACCCUCCCAGCUGUUGGGGGAGCACAGCCUUGCUGGCACCUUGAUUUUGGACUUCAGGCCUCCAGAGCUGAGAGAAGAUACAUUUCUGUGGUUUUGAGCUCCCCGGUUUGUGGUACUUUUCCAACUGCCCCAGGACACUGCUGCGCCAAUGCCCUUGACCUUCAAGGUUGCAUUCUGGCUGAUGGAGCUGAUGGGCACCCCGGCUUCACUGCCCUUGGGCUCCCACUCUGACUGGCCUGUGCUGAAAGGUUAAAAAUAGCUCUGCAUAUAUUAAAAUAGCUAUGUCAAUUCUAAAGGCUCACACAGCUGCUCUAAGUGUCUUGGAUACUCUUCAAAAUAAUAUUUAUAGGCCUCUUCAGGCUCUGUCGAACCAGCUUUUUUAACAUUAAUUAAAGCCAAGCUCAUUAGUUUGUUUACAAGUUGGACUUGGCACACUUUAGCACUUAACAGGAGAUGAAAACUGCAGUUUGUUCAAUUUUCUUUUAAUAAUUUUGUUUACAUUUUUGCCAGCACUCAUAAUCCAGGUUCAGUUUCUGCCAGCACUAAUUUGGUUUAUUCCACAUGGCUGGAGCCACUGCGGGACUCCAUUUGUUCCGGGGCCACCUUCCUGUCACCUUUUACUGUUUCUUGAGUCAGCAAGAAAGGCAGAUCCGACUGAAGACUCCAGCACUCUCCUCAGCUGCAGCCCCCACAGAGCUCCGCGAAGUCCUUUCUCCCACAGGACAGAUCUGAGGCACCCACCAUUAGAAGAAAGGAGUGGAGAAAUGAUAUGCAGGAAGAAGGCCCAUUCUGAUUCACCAAUCGCAUGGACGCACUUUCCUACCAGGCUAGGAGGGAGGAAAGUAGAGCCCCACCCUGACUGCUAAGCCGUUUGCUUUGGUGUCAUGAAAAAAGAGUUCAGCUUCCCAAAUCAGAGAGGAAAAGGUUUUCAAGGGGUCCCCUAUUUCUAUUAUGUAAGCUUUAAAUGACAAAGUGGACCUCUGGGGCCAACGUGGGUGUGUGAUGGUGGUUUUGUGGGAUUCUCCCCAUAGCCCCAUCAGACGGCCUCACCUUCUGGGUCUCAGUGGCCCCAGGUGCAACACGGCUCCUCCAGAAAUGAUGACAGCCCUGGCGACCAAGGACUCCCUGUGCCACUGGGUUUGCGCUCAGAAGUAUAUUCAAUGAUUUCCCCAGAAAAUUCCAAGUCAUCUCCUAAUACUGUUUGUGAAAACUAAAUGAACUGUCGUGGUCUUCUUCAGGGACAGUUUGCUAGGAAGGGUGGUUAUUGGCAUAAUUUUCCAAAUCAAUGAACUAAGUUACAAAACUUUCUCAAAGACCCUGAUGGCUGUUACAAAGACAGAAAAGUGAAUGGUCAGAAAGAAGUGUGAUAAUUCACCCAGUAUUGGGAGGACGAGGUGGGCGGAUCACGAGGUCAGGACAUCGAGACCAUCCUGGCUAACACAGUGAAACCCCGUCUCUACUAAAAAAAUACAAAAAAUUAGCCGGGCGUGGUGGUGGGCGCCUGUAGUCCCAGCUUCUCGGGAGGCUGAGGCAGGAGAAUGGCGUGAAACCUGGGAGGUGGAGCUUGCAGUGAGCCAAGAUCACGCCACUGCACUCCAGCCUGGGCGACGGAGCAAGACUCCGUCUCAUAAAAACAGCCUAAGACAACCACACAGCACACAGGCCUUCAUCCUUGGCUGUGACGGAUGCGUGUCCGUGUGGAGGGCCAGGCCUGUUUCUCCCGUCACUAAUGGAAGCCUCUCUGAGUUUCCAUGAAAGUCUCC
rnacentral:lncRNA from 1 species